GCGGACGGGUGAGUAACGCGUGAGAAUCUACCUUCAGGAUGGGGACAACCGUUGGAAACGACGGCUAAUUCCCAAUGUGCCGAGAGGUAAAAGGUUUCGACCGCCUGAAGAGGAGCUCGCGUCCGAUUAGUUUGUUGGUGGGGUAAGAGCUCACCAAGGCAGCGAUCGGUAGCUGGUCUGAGAGGAUGAGCAGCCACACUGGGACUGAGACACGGCCCAGACUCCUACGGGAGGCAGCAGUGGGGAAUUUUCCGCAAUGGGCGAAAGCCUGACGGAGCAACGCCGCGUGUGGGAAGAAGGCUCUUGGGCUGUCAACCACUUUUCUCAGGGAAGAAGUUCUGACGGUACCUGAGGAAUCAGCCUCGGCUAACUCCGUGCCAGCAGCCGCGGUAAUACGGAGGAGGCAAGCGUUAUCCGGAAUUAUUGGGCGUAAAGCGUCCGCAGGGGGCUCAUCAAGUCUGCUGUUAAAGGUCGGAGCUUAACUCCGAUACAGCAGUGGAAAC
rnacentral:rRNA from 1 species